GCCUGGCUAGCUCAGUCAGUAGAGCUUGAGACUUUUAAUCUCAGGGUCGUGGGUUUGAGCCCCACAUCGGGUG